rnacentral:rRNA from 1 species
UGCCUACGGGGGGCUGCAGUGGGGAAUAUUGGACAAUGGGCGAAAGCCUGAUCCAGCCACGCCGCGUGAGUGAUGAAGGCCUUCGGGUCGUAAAGCUCUGUGGGGAGGGACGAACGCUCCGGCGAAGAGCCGGAGGUGACGGUACCUCCUUAGCAAGCACCGGCUAACUUCGUGCCAGCAGCCGCGGUAAUACGAAGGGUGCAAACGUUGCUCGGAAUCAUUGGGCGUAAAGCGCACGUAGGCGGCUUCGCAAGUCGGAUGUGAAAUCCCGCGGCUCAACCAAGGACGUGCAUCCGAAACUGCGGGGCUUGAGUACAGAAGAGGAUCGCGGAAUUCCCGGUGUAGAGGUGAAAUUCGUAGAUAUCGGGAGGAACACCAGUGGCGAAGGCGGCGAUCUGGGCUGAUACUGACGCUGAGGUGCGAAAGCGUGGGGAGCAAACAGGAUUAGAUACCCCGGUAGUCGGA